rnacentral:rRNA from 1 species
CGGGUGAGUAACGCGUGAGGAACCUGCCUCAAAGAGGGGGACAACAGUUGGAAACGACUGCUAAUACCGCAUAAGCCCACAGCUCGGCAUCGAGCAGAGGGAAAAGGAGUGAUCCGCUUUGAGAUGGCCUCGCGUCCGAUUAGCUAGUUGGUGAGGUAAUGGCCCACCAAGGCGACGAUCGGUAGCCGGACUGGGAGGUUGAACGGCCACAUUGGGACUGAGACACGGCCCAG